CAAGAGCGUAUAUUAAAGUUGUUGCAGUUAAAAAGCUCGUAGUUGGAUUUCUGGUCAAAUGCGCCUGGCCCGCGGCCGUAAGGUCUGUGAGUGCCGGUGCGCGUUUACCAUCCUUCUAGAAAACGUUUCUACCCUUUACUGGGCCGGACUCGCGAUCUAGAUCUUUUACUUUGAAAAAAUUAGAGUGUUUAAAGCAGGCUUUUGCUAUGAAUACAUUAGCAUGGAAUAAUAAGAUAGGACUUUGGUCUAUUUUGUUGGUUUGCAGACCGAAGUAAUGAUUAAUAGGGAUAGUUGGGGGUAUUUAUAUUCCGAUGUCAGAGGUGAAAUUCUUAGAUUUUCGGAAGAUAAACUUAUGCGAAAGCAUUUACCAAGGAUGUUUUCAUUAAUCAAGAACGAAAGUUAGGGGAUCGAAGACGAUCAGAUACCGU
rnacentral:rRNA from 1 species